rnacentral:rRNA from 1 species
UACGGUAGGGUGCAAGCGUUGUCCGGAAUUAUUGGGCGUAAAGAGCUCGUAGGCGGUCUGUCGCGUCUGCGUGUGAAAACUCAGGGCUUAACCCUGAGCUUGCAGUGGGUACGGGCAGACUAGAGUGGCGGUAGGGGAGACUGGAAUUCCGUGGUGAUAGCGGUGAAAUGCGCAGAUAUCAGGAGGGAACACCGGUGGCGAAGGCGGGUCUCUGGGCCGUAACUGACGCUGGAGGAGCGGAAAGCAUGGGGAGCGAAACAGG